UGGGGAAUAUUGCGCAAUGGGCGAAAGCCUGACGCAGCGACGCAGCGUGAGGGACGAAGGCCUUCGGGUUGUAAACCUCUUUCAGCGGGGACGAAGCGAAAGUGACGGUACCCGCAGAAGAAGCACCGGCUAACUACGUGCCAGCAGCCGCGGUAAUACGUAGGGUGCAAGCAUUGUCCGGAUUUAUUGGGCGUAAAGAGCUCGUAGGCGGCUUGUCACGUCGGAUGUGAAAACUCGGGGCUCAACCCCG
rnacentral:rRNA from 1 species